GAUGAACGCUGGCGGCGUGCUUAACACAUGCAAGUCGAACGGUAAGGCCCUUCGGGGUACACGAGUGGCGAACGGGUGAGUAACACGUGGGUGAUCUGCCCUGCACUUCGGGAUAAGCCUGGGAAACUGGGUCUAAUACCGGAUAGGACCACUGCCUGCAUGGGUGGUGGUGGAAAGCUUUUGCGGUGUGGGAUGGGCCCGCGGCCUAUCAGCUUGUUGGUGGGGUGAUGGCCUACCAAGGCGACGACGGGUAGCCGGCCUGAGAGGGUGACCGGCCGCACUGGGACUGAGAUACGGCCCAGACUCCUACGGGAGGCAGCAGUGGGGAAUAUUGCACAAUGGGCGAAAGCCUGAUGCAGCGACGCCGCGUGGGGGAUGACGGCCUUCGGGUUGUAAACCUCUUUCAGCACCGACGAAGCGCAAGUGACGGUAGGUGCAGAAGAAGGACCGGCCUACUACGUGCCAGCAGCCGCCGUAA
rnacentral:rRNA from 1 species